rnacentral:lncRNA from 1 species
AACCAAAACAUGCCCGAAUGACCUAAAAUUUUGCACACACAUCCCAAAUGACACGACGGAUCUAUUGCAACUUUUGGAAUUCCAUUUCGACCCUCGAAUCAAAAGCUCACUAUCAUACCAGAAACUUCAAAAAUUUCAAACUUCGGCAUUUCAAGCAUAAAUUAGCUACGGACAUCCAAAUACAUUCUGAACUCUCUCCCAAACCCGAAAUCACCUAAUGUAUCUAACAAAAUCAUCGUAUUUCCAUUCUGAGGUCGUCUUCACAUUGUUCUGACUAUGAACCACUUUUCAAAACUUAAGCUCUUAUUUAGGUACUAAGUGUCCCAAACUCUCCAAAGCCUAACACCGAACGUCCCGGCAGACCAAAUAGCAGAAAUAAACUUAGGGGAAGUAGUUAAUGGGGGGAUUGGAGCGUAAAUUUCAAAAAUGACCGGCCGGAUCGUCACAAUUUUAUGGUAUAAUUUUGGGGGCGAUUGGACCACCAAAAUCCCUGUGAGGCAAAUUUCGGUGGUGGUUUAUGGUGGAGGCGGCGAAGAAAUGGAGGGCGGAUAGGGUUACACUGGUAAUGGUGAGAUGCAAAGCAAAAAU